GACGAACCGUGCGAACGUUAUUCGGAAUCACUGGGCUUAAAGCGCGUGUAGGCGGGUCGACGCGUCGGUCGCUGAAAUCCCCCGGCUUAACCGGGGAACGGGCGCCGAAACGGUCGGCCUGGAGGGGAGUAGGGGGGCCUGGAACUUCCGGUGGAGCGGUGAAAUGCGUUGAGAUCGGAAGGAACGCCCGCGGCGAAAGCGAGGCCCUGGACUCCAUCUGACGCUGAGACGCGAAAGCCAGGGGAGCGAACGGG
rnacentral:rRNA from 1 species